rnacentral:rRNA from 1 species
AGAGUUUGAUCCUGGCUCAGGAUGAACGCUAGCUACAGGCUUAACACAUGCAAGUCGAGGGGCAGCAUGGUCUUAGCUUGCUAAGGCCGAUGGCGACCGGCGCACGGGUGAGUAACACGUAUCCAACCUGCCGUCUACUCUUGGACAGCCUUCUGAAAGGAAGAUUAAUACAAGAUGGCAUCAUGAGUUCACAUGUUCACAUGAUUAAAGGUUUUCCGGUAGACGAUGGGGAUGCGUUCCAUUAGAUAGUAGGCGGGGUAACGGGCCCACCCUAGUCUUCGAUGGAUAGGGGUUCGUGAGAGGAAGGUCCCCCACCAUUGGAACUGAGACACGGUCCAAACUCCUACGGGAGGCAGCA